UUCCGGAUGGCGCAGUGGUUAACGCACUUGCCUAGCAAGCAGGAGGUCCUGGGUUCGAAUCCCUAUCCGGAGC